rfam:Capsicum annuum cultivar Zunla-1 chromosome 6, whole genome shotgun sequence
UGAUGAUGAUGAGGGUAAUUCCUGAGCAUAUCAUUGAAUCUUUCCCAGGCUUGGUAAAGAUUCUCUCCAUCUUUUUGCUUGAAACUCAGAAUCUCACUUCUCAAAUA